UACGGGGGGGGCAAGCGUUGUUCGGAAUCACUGGGCGUAAAGCGCACGUAGGCGGAUCUUUAAGUCAGAGGUGAAAUCCCAAGGCUCAACCUUGGAACUGCCUUUGAUACUGGGGAUCUUGAGUCCGGGAGAGGUGAGUGGAACUGCGAGUGUAGAGGUGAAAUUCGUAGAUAUUCGCAAGAACACCAGUGGCGAAGGCGGCUCACUGGCCCGGUACUGACGCUGAGGUGCGAAAGCGUGGGGAGCAAACAGG
rnacentral:rRNA from 1 species